AUUGAACGCUGGCGGCAGGCCUAACACAUGCAAGUCGAGCGGAUGAAGGGAGCUUGCUCCUGGAUUCAGCGGCGGACGGGUGAGUAAUGCCUAGGAAUCUGCCUGGUAGUGGGGGAUAACGUCCGGAAACGGGCGCUAAUACCGCAUACGUCCUGAGGGAGAAAGUGGGGGAUCUUCGGACCUCACGCUAUCAGAUGAGCCUAGGUCGGAUUAGCUAGUUGGUGGGGUAAAGGCCUACCAAGGCGACGAUCCGUAACUGGUCUGAGAGGAUGAUCAGUCACAUUGGAACUGAGACACGGUCCAGAGUCCUACGGGAGGCAGCAGUGGGGAAUAUUGGACAAUGGGCGAAAGCCUGAUCCAGCCAUGCCGCGUGUGUGAAGAAGGUCUUCGGAUUGUAAAGCACUUUAAGUUGGGAGGAAGGGCAGUAAGUUAAUACCUUGCUGUUUUGACGUUACCAACAAAAUAAGCACCGGCUAACUUCGUG
rnacentral:rRNA from 1 species